GCUUCGAAGGUUGAUUUACGCACAACGAGGCACUGGUCACCGUAAGGAAAGUGGAAAAGGGAAGCACGAAGGUUCACUAGAAAUUCAAGGAUUCCAAAACGGAUGCGAGCGAGUGUUGGUACGGAGACAGCAGCAUCACCGUCACCAAGACGAAACCUAAACGCGCCCCACUCUGCGCUGCAUUCGCCUCCGCCUCGCUCAGUGAACCGAGCCCAGACGUCAUUCUUAAAAGAUGGGGGUAACGUCGAGUCCGCGUGAAGGAACAGAAGGACCUCUCCCGUGGCCGCGUUCGCGCCAACGUUGCACUGCGUCGCUCUGCCCCGUGCUGACGCAAGAACACGAGCUCCCGCGCGUUUCGCCUCUAGCGCGGUGUCAUCUUCGCUGCCGCCGUCCACGACAAUGACCUCGACGGCACACCCUGAACCCAUUUCCUUCUGCGAUUCUGUCGUUCCUCCGAGACGUGUCGCACUCUCAACCGCUCCGCGCACACGUUUGGAUUCGUUUAGCGCGGGAACGACUACGGAAAUGCGGGGUGGCGGGGUGGACAUUAUGGACUAAGUGAGGGUGGACGAUGUUACUCGGCUGCCUACUGUUAGUUACUAGCUAGGGCAGUCCUGCCGAGGAAGUAAUCAAUACGGGAUCACAACCACCACUUCGCAGACGAGGAAAACGCGAGCAAGUGGUGGUGGCCUCUGUGCAACAACGCAACUUGCCAACGAAGCUAGAUACGAAAGUACUCCGGAAAGUCUCCGGAAGUACUUCCGGAAGUACGUGUGUGUGUAUCUGAUUACAAAAAGACUGAGGGUUUAGGAAGUACGUGCACUGUACGUGUACGUGUACGUGUAGUCGUGUACGUGUACAACGCGUUAUGUGCGUGAGUCGUACGUGUAAAGUGCCUAAAUUGCCAGUGUUUAGGAAACCCCUUGGAUUCGGACGACCCCAUUGGGUGUCCCGAGUUUUGUUUGACGCGUCUUUGUUCGACUUGGCACUGGCUUUUCCUGGGUUCUUUUGAAGGUAAAGUGAAAUAUCCUCCACGGUGAACAAGGGGGGUGCGGCGCGCGCGACCGCGUCCCAAGGAUUUUCUUGAGCGGGUGCGGAAGCGGGUGCGGAAGUGGGUGCGGGUGGAGGAGCGGAUUGCUCAACCUCCUCAUUUUCAUCUCCACCUUCGAAGCCACCAAAGAUCUCAGAGUUGUCGGGGAUACCCAUACCCCCCUCUUGCUGCCUUUGGACUUCCUGAUAAUACGGUAGGUGCAGACCAAGAAGGGAUAACCCCAUUCGUCUGCGGAUGUCGUUGAUGGUCUCGAUUGUUAUUUUGUAUGUAGCCAGGGACUCCUUGUGGGGGAUCGAACCAGCCUUAAUUCUUCGGAGGAUCUUGUUCCUGUUUUCUUCAAACACAUAUUUAGGGUCUUGACGGUAUUUCUCAAUGUAGGCGUUUUGUUUUUUUGUUUUUUCUUGUUGCGCGCGGGUUUUAGCUCUCACCAUACUGGGUAUUUACAGUAUAUUUUUAUUUAACGCCAAAUCCUUAAGCCACUUAGGUUUUAAACAUCUCUAAAAACUCGUCACUUGCAUCCUUGGUCUUGAAGAUCACGAGACAAUCGAAGUGGACACGUCCAAGCUUCAGCGCCAGUCGGUUGCUAAAAGGGAAGGACGAGUGCUCCACAAAAGCGACGUAGUACUUGUCUUGAUUGAUUCGCCACUCCUGGGAUGUUUCUUUUACUUUCAUCGUUUCGGCUCGAAUCCCAUUAGCACAUUCGGCGACGAGUUCGUCCAUACUCGUCUUUGAUUUCCAGAACUCUAGUGAGCCAUUGCAACAAGUAUCAAAUUCUGAUUUGUAGAGCGCAGCGUAGUUAUGCUUCAUGUUGGCUUUGAGUUUGCGCUUGAUUUUGGAUAACGCUUGGUCGCGUCCGCAGGAAGGAGAGUUGCUUACUUCGGGAGAAAACCUGACGAUAGUAUUUACUCUCACCAUUAUGGUACACUUUACGUGUACGUGUACGUGUAGUUGUACUGUACAAGCUAGAAUAUUCUGGAAGUAUUUUCCGAUGUACAUAUCCGUAUUUCCAAAAAAAUCAAUGUCUCGCGCUGUAAUCUCGGAUUCGUAGCUUUUAUGUACAAAAUCUCGUGUAUGCAAAUCAGUCUCACUCAAAAAAAAUAUGUACACGGUUCAUCGGCUUGUAUUCUAUGAACGAAGAUAAAAUAUUACGGAAGUAUGAUACUUUCGUACGUACUUUCGUACUUUAUUUCGAAAGUACUUUCGUACGAAAGUACGAAAGUACUUUCGUACGAAGGUACGUGUACACGUACAACUACUGUACUAAUAAUAAUAAACAUACAGUACAACUAUUAUCUAUUUUCGGAAGUAUGAUACCAAGUACAUGUACAGUACGUGUACGUACAUGUACAACUACAAUACAUUGACUUUUAUUCGGAA
rnacentral:lncRNA from 1 species